GGGGGUGUAGCUCAGAUGGUAGAGCGCGCGCUUAGCAUGCGCGAGGUACCGGGAUCGAUACCAGGCACCUCCA
rfam:Ciona savignyi cont_14469, whole genome shotgun sequence.